UACGUAGGGACCGAGCGUUGUCCGGAUUCAUUGGGCGUAAAGGGCUCGUAGGCGGUUUGUCGCGUCGGGAGUGAAAUCCACUGGCUUAACUGGUGGCUUGCUUUCGAUACGGGCAGACUGGAGGUAUGCAGGGGAGAACGGAAUUCCCGUGGUGUAGCGGUGAAAUGCGCAGAUAUCAGGAGGAACACCGGUGGCGAAGGCGGUUCUCUGGGCAUGUCCUGACGCUGAGGAGCGAAAGUGUGGGGAGCGAACAGG
rnacentral:rRNA from 1 species